AUUGAACGCUGGCGGCAGGCCUAACACAUGCAAGUCGAGCGAGCGGCGGACGGGUGAGUAAUGUAUGGGGACUGCCCGAUAGAGGGGGAUAACUACUGGAAACGGUGGCUAAUACCGCAUACUGUCGGAUAACCCAUAUGGGAUUAGCUAGUAGGUAAGGUAAUGGCUUACCUAGGCGACGAUCCCUAGCUGUUCUGAGAGGAUGAUCAGCGACACGAGGAAUGGGACAGGGCCCAGAAGCCUACGGAGGCAGCAGUGGGGAAUAUUGCACAAUAGACGCGAGCCUGAUGCAGCCAUGCGGAGUGUAUGAAGAAGGCCCUAGGGGUGUAAAGUACUUUCAGUCGGGAGGCGUUACCGACAGAAGAGGCACCGGCUGACGCCGUGGCAGCCGCCGCGGUAAUAC
rnacentral:rRNA from 1 species